rnacentral:rRNA from 1 species
CAAUAGCGUAUAUUUAAGUUGUUGCAGCUAAAAAGCUCGUAGUUGGAUUUCGGGUGGGACGCAGCGGUCUCGCAUUGCGUUUGUACUGCUGCAGCCCUCCUUCUUGCCGGGGGCGGCCUCUCGGACUUCACUGUCUGGGGGUCAGAAUCGGCGAUGUUACUUUGAGUAAAUUAGAGUGUUCAAAGCAAGCUUACGCUCUGAAUAUAAUAGCAUGGGAUAACACGACAGGACUCUGGCCUAUCGUGUUGGUCUAUAGGACCAGAGUAAUGAUUAAGAGGGACAGUCGGGGGCAUUCGUAUUCCGUUGUCAGAGGUGAAAUUCUUGGAUUUACGGAAGACGAACAUCUGCGAAAGCAUUUGCCAAGGAUGUUUUCAUUGA